AUGGAGUUCCUUAGCAGGAUUUUAUUUUUCAAACAAACAAAUUUAAAAAAUUUAAUUUUUUUAAUUGAAACGUUAUUUUUUAGAAAAAAAUAUUCUGAGUUGUUAUAUUUGUUACAAAUUUAUAAAAAGUUAUGGUGUUUUUCGUCCAAAAAAAUAGUGGCAAAAAAAGGGAACACCAUAGAUAUUCCGAGUGAUAAUUUUGUUUGGGAAAAAAGAAAAAAAAAAAAAAAAAAAACUACCAAAGACAAUACUUGUUGCGGCAUAACAAAUGUAAAAAAUAGAACAUACAUUUGUAACAUUAAACGUGAAGUAAUGCAUAAACAACCAGAAUUAAUAAAACAAAAAAGAAAAAAAUGCUAUAAAAUAUUUUGUAUAAAUUAUUUAGCUUUUAUAAAAAUAUCAGCACUAUUAAAUAUGAAAAAUAACAAGUGCUUAAACAAAGGAGUAAAAUUUGUUAAAAAAAUAAGUAACAAAUCAUUUUUAAAUAAUAAUUGUGUUUAUUUAUUACAUGUAAUUAUACAAUUGUUUGAAUUAAAAGGUUUAUAUGCACAAUCCUUAAAAUAUUCUACUUUAUUAUUUUUACAGUGUCCUGCUAACCCACAAUUAAUUAUAAAAUUAUUUAGCUUUUCAUUACUAUCUUUAAAAAAAGAAAUUUCUUUAAUUUUGUUAGCUAAUUAUCACAAAAAAAUUGAAUGGUUAAAAUAUUUUUUUGUUUUUAUUUUAUUCUCAGUGAAUUUACAAUUUCAAAAUAAAAACUUAUGUGAUUAUUUUAUUUUCCUCAUUCAAAAUGUUACAAAAUGUACUACGAAUAAAAAAAAUAGAAUAAAAAAAUAUGAUGUAAAUAAUACUAUUAUUAAGCAAUACGACACAUAUUUUAACAUAGAAGAUGCACCACAAUGUAAAACAUUCAUACAGGACACUAAACAUAUGCAAAAAAAAAAAAAUUCGGACAAAAAAAACAGAAAUAAUUCUAUAAAUCAAAUAUGUAAUGGAAGAAGUAGAGGAUUAACUUUGAAACAGAUUGAUAUAAUGGAAAGGGAAGAUAAGGUCGAGCUAGCCAAUGCACAUGAAAUGAAUGUAGUGGACAAAACGGAUGACCUAAAUAAAACAUUAUUACUACAUUUCAAACAAGUAGAACGAUCUAUACAGAUAUAUAAGUAUAUAGUCGAUUCUUAUCAAAAUGUCUUUUCAGAUUUAUAUUUUUAUUCUUUGUUUAAUUUAAUAUAUUCCUUACAAUUAACAAAUAAAGCUCAUCAAAUUAUUAUCCUUUGUAAAAAUAUGAACCAACUAUUUUUUAAUAAUAUACAUACUUAUAUAUUAUUGUCGUAUUAUUAUUUUGUUACUAAUAUAUCUUUUAAGUCAUACACUGUUCUCAUAAAGGCUUAUUACAUAUAUAAUAAUUAUCCAGAUGUAUAUUACAUGCUUUCUUUGUUGGCACUAAAAACUAAAAAGUACAAAGAAUAUGUUACUUUCAGCGAACUAACUCUUUUUUUUAGUUUUAAAAAUCAAAUAAUUAGGAAUUAUAUUUUUACAAAAAUAUAUGAUAAUCAAUAUAAGUAUAUACCAUCUUAUUUGUUGUAUUCUAAUUUUAAAAAAAAUAUUACAAACGACAUUGUGAAUAUAGAGUGUACACAUAUAUAUAAUUAUUUAUGUUACACCUAUGUUAAACAUUUAAUACAAUCAUACAUAAUUUUUUUUUAUUUUUAUAGUAAUAGACAUAAACCGAAUUAUCUUAUUUUAGGUGAAAAUUUGUGUAAUAUAGCGCUAAAAUUUUUUUCUGAAGACUUGAAACUUGUACACAGUAAUAAAAUAAAAAAUAGAAAAAUAGAUAAAUAAGAUUUGUUAUUGUUAUUUACGAUGUAGUUAUAUAUGUCUCAUUAUUUUUCUCUUUUUAUCCUUUUCUCUUUUCUUUUUUAUUUAUUUUUUUUUUUAUUUAUUUUUUUUUUUUAUUUAUUUUUUGUUUUUCUUAUAAAUAUGCAGUUUUAAGGUAUAUUCAAAUCAUUAAAAAGUAUAGCAAUAAUGGAAAACUACUUUAUAUUAGCAAUACUCCACAUAAUAUAAAGUAGAAACGGUAUUUUCCAUUUUUAUCCAAGUUGGAAAUUUUAUUUUUUAAUACAUAACAUAUAUGUAUGUGUAGUUCUUUUUUUUUUUCACAUAAUUUUAUAUUUUUAUUGUUUAAAUUUUCAUCACAUUUUUUUUUUGGCGUUUUAAUAUUUGUUAUAGUGCUAUAAAACACUAUAAUAAAGGUACACAUCAAUACGUUCA
ensembl:lncRNA